GACGAACGCUGGCGGCGUGCCUAGUACAUGCAAGUAGAACGCUGAAGAGAGGAGCUUGCUCUUCUUGGAUGAGUUGCGAACGGGUGAGUAACGCGUAGGUAACCUGCCUUGUAGCGGGGGAUAACUAUUGGAAACGAUAGCUAAUACCGCAUAACAAUGGAUGACACAUGUCAUUUAUUUGAAAGGGGCAAUUGCUCCACUACAAGAUGGACCUGCGUUGUAUUAGCUAGUAGGUGAGGUAAUGGCUCACCUAGGCGACGAUACAUAGCCGACCUGAGAGGGUGAUCGGCCACACUGGGACUGAGACACGGCCCAGACUCCUACGGGAGGCAGCAGUAGGGAAUCUUCGGCAAUGGGGGCAACCCUGACCGAGCAACGCCGCGUGAGUGAAGAAGAUUUUCGGAUCGUAAAGCUCUGUUGUAAGUCAAGAACGGGUGUGAGAGUGGAAAGUUCACACUGUGACGGUAGCUUACCAGAAAGGGACGGCUAACUACGUG
rnacentral:rRNA from 1 species